UUCCUUGUGGUCUAGUGGUUACGAAUCCUGGCUCUUACCCAGGCGGCCCAGGUUAGACUCCCGGAGCGGAAG
rnacentral:tRNA from 1 species